rnacentral:lncRNA from 1 species
AAUUCUACUAAAACUCAUAAUUUAUAGGUGUGACAAUGUUUUAUACUGGACGGUGUACAUAACUUAAAACUCUAUCCAUGUGACACAUGAAGCUAUUUAAUUUGCGAGAGUGGACGGCACCACUUUCUGGUUAAUAAAUUUCUGAGUCAACCCUUUGUUCAUCAUCAUAUAUUUUCCUUAGUUGAAUCAUACUCCUCACUUGGCUCAAAACUAAGAUUAACCUAUAGUCCACCUACGGGAUUGAUCCGAUCUCCCAACCAAGAUAGAUAGUCUCCCAUCAUUAAUCUGGAUCUACUUUUUUCUUAUUACCGGAAAUUAUACAGUUGCAAAAGUAAAGACAGUAGUCUUAAAAUGUUGUCUCUGUUAGUUGUUUGUGAUUCACAAUCCUUUUAUCAAAGCCUGCAUGACUUUUCAAAGAGGUGUUGACUUGGAGAAUGUAGAUCCUACUCUUAGUAUCGAUGGCGGAAUCUUUCUUGUUCAAUAU